CAGUGCCAAGAUGUGAACCUGGAACCCCAGGACCAGGGGCCAGUGUUCUUAACCACUGAGUUAUCUCUCCAGCUCUGUGUGCAUGAAUCUUGAAGACCUUGUUGAAGUGGAAACUGAAGGGUUCUUUGGAAAGUCAGUUGUGUUGGACGGUGUUUCGUUGGGGCAAACACGUGAAGGAGGGUAUUUCUGAAGACACAGGCAAAAGGCCAAGGCAGACUUGUGAAGGAACCUUUCAAUGAAGCAGCCACAGGUUCGAGGAUGUUCUGCUAAAGCAAGCAUGCAGAAAGACACGUGAUAAAAGAUCCUUUGAUAACUACACGCAUGUGUUGGUUCAUCUUACAUUGCUUUGUUGACGCUCCUUUUGUCAGGACUUCAUAGAGAGAAACACACCAACUUCCGGUAGUGAGCCUUGGCUUUUCUGCCGCUUGUGGGGACUGGGACUGAUUAACAGAGUGAUGUCAGCUGAGACAGGCACUCAUGCUGAGGCGAGACACUUGGCGAGGCAAGACCAAUGGAGGAGGCCACUGCAUUUCCUUGGGUGUAUGAAACAAGGUGACCAAUGGACCCUGCCAUGCCUUUGCACAAACUAGGAAAGGGACAUCUUCAACCCAUGCGGUCUUCAUAGAUUUGAAGCUGGAAAAGUUGAGCAGAGUUGGAGUUCAGCUCCUAGGUACCUCCUGGCAACGCAAACCCUACACAGAAGUAGCCAUGGCUCAAAGAGCAAGUUCCAUUUGAAA